rnacentral:rRNA from 1 species
AAAUUGAAGAGUUUGAUCAUGGCUCAGAUUGAACGCUGGCGGCAGGCCUAACACAUGCAAGUCGAACGGUAACAGAAAGCAGCUUGCUGCUUUGCUGACGAGUGGCGGACGGGUGAGUAAUGUCUGGGAAACUGCCUGAUGGAGGGGGAUAACUACUGGAAACGGUAGCUAAUACCGCAUAACGUCGCAAGACCAAAGAGGGGGACCUUCGGGCCUCUUGCC